CGGSAUGWGCWCGCUACACAUGCAGUCGAGCGGCAGCACGGGUACUUGUACCUGGUGGCGAGCGGCGGACGGGUGAGUAAUGCCUAGGAAUCUGCCUAGUAGUGGGGGAUAACGUCCGGAAACGGGCGCUAAUACCGCAUACGUCCUACGGGAGAAAGUGGGGGAUCUUCGGACCUCACGCUAUUAGAUGAGCCUAGGUCGGAUUAGCUAGUUGGUGAGGUAAUGGCUCACCAAGGCUACGAUCCGUAACUGGUCUGAGAGGAUGAUCAGUCACACUGGAACUGAGACACGGUCCAGACUCCUACGGGAGGCAGCAGUGGGGAAUAUUGGACAAUGGGCGAAAGCCUGAUCCAGCCAUGCCGCGUGUGUGAAGAAGGUCUUCGGAUUGUAAAGCACUUUAAGUUGGGAGGAAGGGCAGUUACCUAAUACGUGAUUGUUUUGACGUUACCGACAGAAUAAGCACCGGCUAACUCUGUGCCAGCAGCCGCGGUAAUACAGAGGGUGCAAGCGUUAAUCGGAAUUACUGGGCGUAAAGCGCGCGUAGGUGGUUUGUUAAGUUGAAUGUGAAAGCCCCGGGCUCAACCUGGGAACUGCAUCCAAAACUGGCAAGCUAGAGUAUGGUAGAGGGUGGUGGAAUUUCCUGUGUAGCGGUGAAAUGCGUAGAUAUAGGAAGGAACACCAGUGGCGAAGGCGACCACCUGGACUGAUACUGACACUGAGGUGCGAAAGCGUGGGGAGCACACAGGAUUAGAUACCCUGGUAGUCCACGCCGUAAACGAUGUCAACUAGCCGUUGGGAGCCUUGAGCUCUUAGUGGCGCAGCUAACGCAUUAAGUUGACCGCCUGGGGAGUACGGCCGCAAGGUUAAAACUCAAAUGAAUUGACGGGGGCCCGCACAAGCGGUGGAGCAUGUGGUUUAAUUCAAAGCAACGCGAAGAACCUUACCAGGCCUUGACAUCCAAUGAACUUUCUAGAGAUAGAUUGGUGCCUUCGGGAACAUUGAAACAAGUGCUGCAUGGCUGUCUUCACCUCGUGUCCUGAAAAGUUUGGGUUAAGUCCCGUAACCAGCCCCACCCCUGGUCCUUAGUUACCAUCACGUUAAGGGGGGCCUUCUAAGGAAAC
rnacentral:rRNA from 1 species